UCUGGCUGUUUUGUGUUCUGAGCGCCGUUCUCAGAUUAUGCUUUUUCCAUAAAGUUUUUUUGAAAUCUGACACAGCGGUUGUAUUAAAGAGAAGUCUAUCUUUAAUUCUGUGAAUAAUACUUAUUCUUUAUCAAUGUUUAUUAUGAGUAUUUCUGCAAAAUCACUGGAUGUUUUGGAAUCAAAACAUUACUGCACGUAAGGCGCCAAUGUAAACUGAGAUUUUUGGAUAUAAAUAUGCACAUUAUCGAACAAAACAUACAUGUAUUGUGUAACAUGAUGUCCUAUGCGUUUCAUCUGAUGAAGAUCAUCAAAGGUUAGUGAUUAAUUUUAUCUACAGUGGGGCAAAAAAUAUUUAGUCAGCCACCAAAACGACGUGAAUUUCUGGCUACAUGGCUGCGGUUAGGCAUAAGGUUAUCUGUGUGGUUAAGGUUAGAUUUAAAAUCACAUUUUAAGAAGAGAAAUUGUAGAAAUAGACGGCCUGUAUGACUUUGUGGCCGUGGUAACUAGUGACGAACUAGAAUUAGCUUGACCCAAGUUACUGCCCUGAUGAUACAGACGGCUUCAUCAACAACGGUAAUGUGUCUUAUGUGAAAAUUUGUAUACAAAAAAAAUACCCAGUUUGAUAACUAGUAGGUUAAUUACCCAGCCAAGCAGAUACAAGUAGUAGAGUGAUUUUGUAACUGUGAAGUGCAUUAUCAAAGAACAUUGUCCUUUCUUUAUUCCAAAAUGAAAUGUUCUACUUGGCUGUCUAUUGUAUCACCCUGUCACAGGCCCUACCAGUCAACACCAGCUCAUAAGAUGACGAAGUACAUUGCCUGCUGCAGUUGUUCGAGAGAUGUCCCGUUUCAGCCAAACAUACAACAUAGAGAAGACCAGCAAGGGGGCCCUCACAAUCACACAGACAUGUCCUCGCUGUGAGCAUUCCUAUAAAUGGAACAGUGGGGACACUUGAAUCAGUGCUCAGGAGGGGCCAGGAGCUCAUCUACACUGCCAUGCCCAUCAAUGGGGUGCUGGCAAAGAACUUACCUCCAUCCUCACUUCUUGCCUGCUUACCAACGGUUGUCAAUGAAGAGAUGUAUCUAUUGACCCGGAACUUGGAGACUGGCAAGAGGAUGUGAUGAAGUCCAGAAUGACAUACGGGCUUCAUACUGCUGUCUCUAAAUGGAGAGAGACCUGGUACUCGGCAUGAACAUUUUACUAGACCACUUUAACUUGUCUUUUUUUAUUAUUGAAUUUAAUGGUGCACGGCAAUAUGGGGAGGGAGAAACCCGGUGUAUUCUGCACCAGGAUCAGGUAACUCCUGGUGUAUACAGGACACCACCACCCUGACAUGUUUACCAAGGUAGCCCCAUUAACACCAAACAAAAUGCCGAUGGGCACAGUAUCUU